UACGGAGGGUGCGAGCGUUGUCCGGAAUCACUGGGCGUAAAGGGCGCGUAGGCGGCGCGGAUAGUCGGCGGUGAAAGCCCGGAGCUCAACUCCGGGUCGGCCGUCGAUACUUCCGGGCUUGAGCACUGUAGAGGCAGAUGGAAUUCCGGGUGUAGCGGUGGAAUGCGUAGAGAUCCGGAAGAACACCGGUGGCGAAGGCGGUCUGCUGGGCAGUUGGCUGACGCUGGAUGCGG
rnacentral:rRNA from 1 species